AUUAUUAGUUUCACAUUUUAAGUUGAAUUACAGAAUUGUCUGAGUUUCACCUGCACUAGUGGCGGGUACAGUGUGAUGUCGGCACCGUCGGCAGUUUUCUGUUUCUGUCGACACGGCGGCACCAUUGGGUGUCGCUCUUGCCUUAACAUCAUUUCCUUUAGAGGAAGUUGCCAACCGGAUUUCCUUCUUUCUUGCUUGUGGUUGAAGACGUGUCAGUCGUCUGUGGAGUGGCAGGACAGAUACUGGGCCGGAUAAAGCUUCAAUCUCAGGAUCACACGAUAUUGACGAAGGCCGCGUUGUCUUCGAGUGACAGUGAAUCACAGGGUGUUUGACGCCAGUCUGAGACGAACGACCACAGGAGUCCCUGAGCUGCCAAACGACAUUCAACUGAAAUCUGAGAUGGCUAAAGCGGUGCAGGUAAAGAACGAGCCUCGGGCCCAGGCACGAGGAAAGAUGGUCCCUGAGCUCAUGCGUGUGAAGUAUGGCAGAAGUCAGGGCCCUUUAAGAGCGUCUCCAAUGACCGAGCUGAUGAUGAGUCUGCAACAUUCAGUCUGUCAGGUCAGAAUCGACGGCAGAGGAGCGGGCAGUGGUUUCCUCCUAUAUGACAACCUUGUCGCCACAAACUCCCAUGUAAUUAAGGAUGCUUUUGAUCCUAGUAGCUACAGGCUUUUGGAACAUGUCACUGUUGAUUUUCCCUUUGAACGUGUAGGACACCCUCGUGUAGAACACAAAGUAAAGGAGGUAUUUGACUUCCAGGACGGGUUGGAUGAGUCAGGGCACAAAUGUGACUGGGCCUUGUUGAGUCUGGCUGCAGAUCCAAAGUCACCACUUCCAGCCGGCCUACUGCCAUACUGUGGGUUUGGGCAAAGUGACAGCAUUUGUAUCAUAGGAGACCCAGACAGCGGUGUGGAAAGGGUUGAUUUCACCUCGGUUAUACCUGUUGAUCAAGUUUCAGUGAAGGUGUCAGCUGAGGUUACUCAGUUUGGUCCUUCAGACUUUGCUGAUCGCAUGGAAAUGGAGGUUAGUAACACUCCAAAUUUAUACCAUAAGACCCGCUUAUCAUUUGGCGCUUCAGGCUCCCCAGUCUUUGACAGUGGCUGUGAUGUAGUGGCGAUGCACUCAGGUGGAUCUGAUUACAAAGAUUCCUCUGGAGCGCUCCAGAGUGUUGAGUAUAGACUCCCUCUGUUCUCCAUUCUUGAAAACCUCAUUGUGAAGUUAAUGCGCAGAGGUAAACUGGAUGAAUUGAAGAAAUAUCUGGAGACUGAUUUUAAGCAUCACGACUUCAUCAAACAUAAUGUGAAGAAACUGGUUGACAGCCGAAAUUACAACUUUAUUGCAAUUAUUAAAAAUGCAAUCAACAAUUUAAAUUUUAAUGAUGAUAUUUUGAAUAACUUUUUUCAGUUCAUCUGUCGCACUGAACCUCCAAUUCCAAUGAUCACUGAAUAGAACUAUGACACUUUGUGGAUUUUUGUUAUUGUACAUGUUUCUACAUUGUGAUGUAGCUGUUCACCAACAAUGGCAAUAAAAACUAUUCUGAACGUCUGUCUGUUGUAUUUUUAUGUGUAUAUCGGACCUUGUAUUGCUAACAGUGGGUUUCACGUAUUUUGGAAAAAGUCACAAACCCUCUUUAAAGUAGGCUACUGUAUAUUUCAUUCAUGUUGCAUCCGUAUCAAGGUGAUAUUUGAUAGUAAGAUACUGUAUGUUAGGGGGAAAAAAUAAUAAAUGAAUGAAUCUGUCAGUGGAAGGGUUAAUUUUCUCCACGGACCUCCAGGGACCAGUGCAUGAUCGCUGCAUGGAUGUGGAUCGCUGUCGCUGGGUACUCUCUCUGUCCGCAGUUUUGUUGCAAUGGAAGUAAUAUUAAAUAUCCAAAGUAUAUUAGCUGAUCAUGCAUUUGUCUGAUAAAUCUUAUGAGCUAAGUAACCAAAAUAUUAUUGGUCACUUCUAGGGUUGUUCUGAUACCGAUCCUGGUAUCUGAGUUCCUAAACCCAAACCCGUCUGAGGUCUAAUUGUGUUUUUCGGCUCUGCAGACGAUAAAAUCCAGAAUAAUCACAUUUGUGUUUUCUUUUUUUUUUGUCUUCGUAGUAUCAAGCAGCAUAAGUCACAGUGCAUUGACUUUGUUUAAUCUGCAUAAUGAACCAUGUGCAAUAGCUUUUGGCAUAUUUUUACAGGCUUUAGUAUAGUUUUAUUAUAGUUUUUAUUCACUUCCUGUGGUAUCAGACGGUGCUCGGUAUCAGCGACUUCUCUGAACCCAAGUGUGGGGAUCGGAAACACUGGUAUGGGAGAGUGAAGUAAGUUAAGCCACCCUUAUAUUUUAAAAAUAAAACUCCCUAAAAAUGUACUUGGGGACAUUUGAACUAUGACAUUUGAAAUAAAUAAUAUCAAUCCCUCAUUUUGUCAGACUCUCGCAGUAAGUCAUUUACAUUCUCUUUCGAUGCACUUCCACCAGGGGGCCCCAGACUCACUGCUCUAAGGAACCAGCACGGCUGCUUUGUAACUUAGCCAGGCACCUGAGAAAUGCUGUAAUGGUGUUAAUGAUCAGCCCUGACAGCAGAUCAGCUCCACGUUUGUAUUUGAGAGAGUGAAGCAGUUUCAGUACCUCAGUGACGGCGGAGGCGAGCAGAGAGGGCAGCGUCUCGUCCACACUUUGGAUCAGGCGUCGCAGAGUUAAACCCACGCUCUGAAAGAAACACAGACUUAGCUCAGAACCUUUCAGAACAGGAAAUACAACCAGACAUU
rnacentral:lncRNA from 1 species